UGUGUGUAUGUGUGUGUGUAUGUGCGAACAUGAAUAUCUUCAUAGAUCCAGGGAUCGAAGUGUAGGAGGAAAGUUAGCUUCAAGCAAUCUGUAGUAAAUAUAAGAAAACAACUUUCAGGGACAAUAGUGGUUUAUUGAGACGGAAGAUUAUGGAU